rnacentral:lncRNA from 1 species
GCGGCCCAUAGUUCCCUUAAGCGGGAGGGGUGGGAAAUCGGGACAAGCUCCCUGAGAGCCAAGACCUCCAACUGCGGUGGGUCAGCCACACGGUGCCCGGGAAAGCAGGCGGUGGCCUCCCUGUUUCCCCCGAACCACAGCCGCUGACUCCACAUGACGGGGCCAUCUAUGGGGCUUCUCUCAAGACCUUGCCCCAGGCGGAUCCCCCUCAUCUGCAGGAAGGGGCAGAUCCUGGGGUGAACAGGCUGUGCGGUACAGCAGCAAACAGCAGAGAGGCUGGGGGUGGGGUGAGGGUGAGUGGCAGGGAAGUGAGGGCAGACCCUGCAGAAUUCCAGAAAGGCCAGAUCAGCAGUGACCCCUGUUUAUCAGGGGUCCCCCUCCAACCAGGAACUGGGACCAAACCGUCAGAGUGUCUGCAAGAGUCAUCAGGGCCAGAGGCAGUGUGGUGUCAUGGUUAGAGCACGAGCUUUGCAAGGGACGUACACCUGGGUCCACGUCGCCGUGUGACCUCGGGGAAAUCUCUCAACUCCUCUGUGUCUGUGAAACAGAAACAACAACAAUAACAACUCUCACAGAGUUACUAUGAGGAUUUGAUGCGAUGAUGCAGGAGAAAUGCUUAAAAUAGUGUCUGGCACGUGGUAAACUUUUAAUCAGUUUUAGUUAAAAGUUGCAGUGGUGAUAAUUAUAGCAAAGGUUUGGAGGGGUGGAAAAGCUUCAGAAAACGAGAGGCCUGGGUGUUCCAUGUUGCUGUGUGAACUUGAGGCACGUGUGUGUCCCUCUGGUCUCUGCCAGUUAGGGAGGGAGGAGCCGGGGAUGGACGCCGUGGAGCACUGACUUUGUCCUGAGAUUUGUGGGGUUGAAUGAUGAGAUGCUUUAGGCUCAUGGUACGGUUCUCUGAGUCCAAUUGCAUUUCAUCCUUGUGCCACCUCUGGGCAGUCAACUGGCCAGUGACUAUGACCAUCAUGUUUCUGGUAAGGAAAUCCAAGGCCCAGCGAGGGAAGUGAAAUGGCCACACCGCACCUUUCUGGCCAACGAGGGCAGAACCCACAUUGCUAACUUCUGCCCUGAGUUCCUGGGGCCUUCACGGUCUGCUGGGCUUAUGAGGUUGUUUGUUGAUUGGUUGUUUUUUUUUUUAUUUUUUUUUUUAUUGAUCAUUCUUGGGUGUUUCUCG